rnacentral:tRNA from 1 species
GGGGGUGCAGCUCAGUGGUAGAGCACGUGCCUGGCAUGCACAAGGCCAGGGGUUGACUCCCAGCACCACAA